GGGUCAGGAGGUUGGUCGUGCCACCGGUACGUACUGGUCUCACUGAUUCCUCCUUCCUGAAGAACCGUAAUGCCAUUAAUUUGGUGUUGCGGGGAAACAGGACUGUUACUUUGAAAAAAUUAGAGUGUUUAAAGCAAGCUAACGCCUGAAUACAUUAGCAUGGAAUAAUGAAAUAGGACGAUCGAUCCUAUUUUGUUGGUUUCUAGGAUUGACGUA
rnacentral:rRNA from 1 species